ACGACGAAAGAUGUACCUCUAUUCUGGGCAUGACUAUAAUGUUGUCAAUAUACUAAAAGUACUUAACUUAUUUGAGCCACAUUUUCCAAACUACAGUUCGUCUGUAGUGAUCGAAUUACACCAUUUUCCAGAUAAAAAUGACUACGCUGUCAAGAUUCUUCAUUCCAAAUCAGCCAGGGAAGACUAUGAAGAAAAACAGUUGAACGGAUGCGAAGUAAUGUGUCCCUUGGAGACAUUCUUGAAUAUUACUCAGAAGUUAGUUCCUGCUAACUAUACGAUUGAAUGUGAAUCAUCUUUUGCCCUAGAUUGACGAAGAAAGUGCAUAUACUCCGGAUGAAUGAAUUAAAUGAAUUAAUUAUUAGUUAAUGUAUUGCUUGUAGUGCUUUUGUUUGUAUAUUUUCUGUAUCAAAUCAUCAUCGAAUUCGAAUUAGGUAGUUAUUAAGUGUAAUUUAUGAUUUCUAAAUAGUAUGUUUUCUCUGAUGAUCAACUUCUUUUCCUAUACUUUUCCAAAAAGUAAUGGAAUAUGUAUAACUAAUAGCUGACGUGGCGAACUUCAUACUGUUAUGGAAUUAAUAAAUGGUAUGUCAAUUAGCAGAGUUAUAUUCUCUGUUUCA